CACCGAGUGUAAACAAGGCGCUGAUUGGCUGUUGUCCAGUCCGCACAGGGCCUCCUGAAAAAAGCAAUUACUGGCUCCGCGGUUUCAAGGCGCCCAAGGCCGCUUGAUGAAAGGAGAUAAGCUGGGGACAGUUUCCAGGACCCCCACGGGCCGACCCCAGCAGCCCGGGAGCCGAGGUGCGCCGCAGAGCCUGCGGAUCAAAGGAAUCCGGAGAGAAAGGGGAAGCAGGCGCACGGCCCGGGCCGGCCUUCCCCCGCGGGCAUCUCUGACCUGGGGUGGGGGCUUGGGCGGCGGGCGGGGGCUCCGGGAUUGGGCGCCCGCUUCGGGCGGCGUGGCCGGCGGGGCGGCUCCGGAGAGCCCGGGGCUGGCAGGUAAGCACCGGGACACCGCGAGCGCGGGACAGGGCGCGCGGUCCCGAGCUGAGGCUCCGACGAUGCCCCGACACAGCGGCAGAGAUAAAACCCCAGCUGCCGGAGCCUCUGGCCAGUCCCGAGGCCGACGCCUUCGGAAACGACCCCAGGCGGCGCGCGGCAACCGCGGGAGGAGAGGCAGCUUGCAUAAAUCCAUACAGCGCCUGGAGAUCCGAUUAGCGCGCGGCUAUUCAUUAGGCCGUGGGCGAUUGAAUUAGGUCCCCGUUGCGGACCCGGGGGGGCGGGGGGGGGGGGCCCUCGGGCUUGGCGCGACCAUCGGGGUAGGGGGUGGCUGACGCGGACCACCGGGCUCGGCCCGUGGCUUCUGGAGGAUGGAGUCGCAGUGACGGCCCCGACAUGUGUUGGGGAGACGGACUUCCUCUGGGUCCCGCCCCUACGGGUGCGUGCGGAGGCCCCCCGCUUCCCACGCACAUCCAGGAAAGCCGGCCCGGUUGGGGAGAAAUCGCUCUCACCUAGAGGUGGGUCGGCGGGGACGGCCUCCAGCCUGGGCUCCGGAACCCCUUGCAGGGCCAGGCGAGGCCGGAGCUCGGGCUGGAAGCGGCUUGCCGCGCCGUCCCGGAGCGCGCCGGGCUCACACUGCGUCCCUGGCCCCGGUGGCCUGGUGCGCGGAGGCUGCUCGGUCCGUGAGCCCUGGGACCCUCACCAGCUUCCCGCAGCCCCUCGGCACAGCUCUCCAGCCGGGACUUUGAAGUCUAGACCCCCGGCAAAGCGCCCCUAGCUGACAGCACGUUGCCUAUUCUGGUUUGGUAGCGGAGUACCCCAUUGCUGACAUUCUCCAAUGAGUUGUUUCCCGGCCCAGAAACCUUCUUUUUUUUAAUGUAAGAUUGAGUUUUAAAGUUCCGUUUGAAAUGAAAUAUAUAUGUGAGCAAAAUACAUAUAAGAAAAAGAUUCUCCAUCCAAGGGAAAGAACACCUUGGCGACCGGCGGAAUCCCUAGAGUUUCUCUGAGUUCCCAGAGCUGCGCCCGCCGCCCGAUGCCCAUGGGCCAGGAGGGGACUCCUGGCCUCUGACCGCCUGUGGGCGAGACAUAGGGGCCUCCAGUCUCCAGGAUCCCGCAGUUUGCGCAGAAAGGCACCCGCUGGGAAAUCCCCAUUCUCUGCUCCCCACCUCCUAGGGCAGAAGAUUGUCUGAAGGUCCUGGAGCCUGGCUGAUGGGCCCCACCCUAGCGGUACUGGAGGGAGGCCUGCAGGCUGCUUCAGACUGCAGAGAACUGUAUCAUUCCGGGACCUCCCUGCCCUUGCGGGUUGCAGCUGGCGUUCCCCAGAUUACUAAUUCAGGGGGAAGCCCUGCGUCCACAUGCCUCUCCUGCCAGACACCCCUCCUGGCUUGCCCUCUGGCCUGGGAAGAAGGUAAACAGAUGCCCGAGAAGCCAGCUGUUCUCUGACACCUGGGCGUGCUCUCUCAGCACACUUACAUCCACACUACACUCCCGCGCACACACCGCUCCUGUGCACACGCGUACGUCUCACACACACGUGUGCGUACAUCACACUCAGGCACACCCUUGAGCACCACGCAGCACGUUACACUCCCAUGUGCACGAAACAUACGUGCACACGCUUCAUCUCACACAGCAGCCCAUGUUUACACGUGGCCCAGCGUUCUGGAGAACCUGCCUUGCCCCACGCAGCCUGGGGGCCCCUGACACAUCCCCCCCAGCCUGUCCCCAGCCAUGGAGUUCCAUCUACAGUGCUCCCAGCUCCCAAAAGACCACGAUCCUGCUCUGCCUGAAAUCAUGAAAUAAUCAUUUUUUUAACACAAGGGUGUGGGGGUGUCGGGUGAGUUACAUAAAAUUGUGAAUUAGUCCCUGCUCCAAAUAAAUGCCUACUUGGGCCAGAGAACAGCAGAGAGAGAGCUGCGCGCUCCGUAAUUG